rnacentral:rRNA from 1 species
GACGAACGCUGGCGGCGUGCUUAACACAUGCAAGUCGAACGGACCUUCUGAUCUUUUGGUUGGUUGGUUAGUGGCGAACGGGUGAGUAACACGUGAGUAACCUGCCCUUCUCUUCGGGAUAACUGUCGGAAACGGUGGCUAAUACCGGAUAUUCAUAUGCUGUCGCAUGGUGGUGUGUGGAAAGAUUUUUUGGUGGGGGAUGGACUCGCGGCCUAUCAGCUUGUUGGUGAGGUAGUGGCUUACCAAGGCUUUGACGGGUAGCCGGCCUGAGAGGGCGACCGGCCACACUGGGACUGAGAUACGGCCCAGACUCCUACGGGAGGCAGCAGUGGGGAAUAUUGCACAAUGGGCGGAAGCCUGAUGCAGCGACGCCGUGUGCGGGAUGACGGCCUUCGGGUUGUAAACCGCUUUCAACUGUGACGAAUUUGACGGUAGCAGUAGAAGAAGCACCGGCUAACUACGUGCCAGCAGCCGCGGUAAAAC